AUACGGAGGGUCCAAGCGUUAAUCGGAAUUACUGGGCGUAAAGGGUUCGUAGGCGGUUAUUUAAGUCAGAUGUGAAAGCCCCGGGCUCAACCUGGGAAUUGCAUCUGAUACUGGGUAACUAGAGUUUAAGAGAGGAGUGUGGAAUUUCCGGUGUAGCGGUGAAAUGCAUAGAGAUCUGAAGGAACAUCAGUGGCGAAGGCGGCACUCUGGCUUAAAACUGACGCUGAGGAACGAAAGCGUGGGUAGCAAACAGGAUUAGAUACCCUAGUAGUCC
rnacentral:rRNA from 1 species